rnacentral:misc_RNA from 1 species
AUCAAUAAAGUGGGGAAGAACCAUGAGUCUUAGGUUCAAAACCAAGCAGAAACAAAAAGACUCUAGGUGAUUUUUUCCUAUCUACCCAAGCCCACUACUAGUGCAGGUAAGAGAAUAAGUACCUGGUGGGAUUAGUCGAGAUGCAUAGAAAGCUGGCCCAGAUCACCAUCGACGAAAAAAUAAAUAAAUUGAAGACUAAAGAAACAACUUUAGGCAAAG